CAAACCCUAACAAAUGUNUUUAAACAAAACAUUUUAACUUUUUAGUAGAGGUGAUCGAAAA
rnacentral:rRNA from 1 species